AGUGAACGCUGGCGGUAGGCCUAACACAUGCAAGUCGAACGGCAGCACAGUAAGAGCUUGCUCUUACGGGUGGCGAGUGGCGGACGGGUGAGGAAUACAUCGGAAUCUACUUUUUCGUGGGGGAUAACGUAGGGAAACUUACGCUAAUACCGCAUACGACCUAUGGGUGAAAGCAGGAGAUCUUCGGACCUUGCGCGAUUGAAUGAGCCGAUGUCGGAUUAGCUAGUUGGCGGGGUAAAGGCCCACCAAGGCGACGAUCCGUAGCUGGUCUGAGAGGAUGAUCAGCCACACUGGAACUGAGACACGGUCCAGACUCCUACGGGAGGCAGCAGUGGGGAAUAUUGGACAAUGGGCGCAAGCCUGAUCCAGCCAUACCGCGUGGGUGAAGAAGGCCUUCGGGUUGUAAAGCCCUUUUGUUGGGAAAGAAAAGCAGCAGGUUAAUACCCCGCUGUUCUGACGGUACCCAAAGAAUAAGCACCGGCUAACUUCGUG
rnacentral:rRNA from 1 species